rnacentral:rRNA from 1 species
CAUGUGUAAGUACUAGCCAAAACUAAAAUGGUGAAACCGCGAAAAGCUCAUUAAAUCGGCUUUGGUUCCUUAGAUAGUAAGCAGAAAUGAUUUUUCAAAAAUUAAAUGUAAAUUUAAUUUUGAAAAAAAAAUUCUGACAUUGGAUAACUGUGGUAAUUCUAGAGCUAAUACAUGAAAAUUAAAUCAGUGUGAAAUUUUUUUGUAAAAGAAAAAUAUUUUACACGCUUUUAUUAGAGGAAAAAGCCAAUUUAAAAAUAAUUUUUUUCUUAAAAAAAUUAUUUAAUAUUAAUAAAAUAAAUUUAAAAUUUUGAAAAUUUUAAAUUUUUUAAGUGUUGAAUCUGAAUAACUUAAACAAAUUUCUAUAAAAAAAAGUAUGUAAUUUUUAAUGUUUUUUUAAGUAGCAUUUAUGAUAUUUUUGAAAAUGUUAAAAUUAAUAGUUUUUUUAUUAUUAUAGAAAUUUAAAGCUGACCGCAACAAUAUGCUUUUUAAAAAAAUUUUUAUAAUGAAAAUUUUUUCAAAUAGUAUUGCGGCGUAUCUUUCAAUUGUCUGCCUUAUCAACUUUCGAUGGUAGGUUACAUGCCUACCAUGGUUAUAACGGGUAACGGAGAAUCAGGGUUCGAUUCCGGAGAGGGAGCCUGAGAAACGGCUACCACAUCUAAGGAAGGCAGCAGGCACGCAAAUUACCCACUCCCGGCUCGGGGAGGUAGUGACGAUAAAUAACGAUACGGAACUCUUAUGAGUUUCCGUGAUCGGAAUGAGUGUAAUUUAAAUCCUUAUACGAGGAGCAAAUGGAGGGCAAGUCUGGUGCCAGCAGCCGCGGUAAUUCCAGCUCCAUUAGCAUAUAUUAAAGUUGUUGCGUUUAAAAAGCUCGUAGUCGAAUCUGUAUCUCGGCGUGUCAAUCGUUUAGUAAUUUAAAUAUUACUAAAUUUGAUAUGACAAAUUUCGCAUGAGAUAUAAAUAUUGGUGGAUUUUUAAGUAAUUAUAUUUAUAAAAGAAAUUUUAUUAAUUUUUUUUAUAUUUAUAUAAUUAUUAAAUUCGAUACAAAAUAAAUUUUUUUAUUAAUAUAAAUUAUUUAUAGAAAAAGUGAAUUUUUUUUUUAAUAUCGAAAAUUAUUUAUAAUUUUUGUCUAACAAUAAUAAAUGUUUUUUUUUAUUUUUAGAUACUAAAAAAAUUUUACUCAAAUCAUUAAUAAUUAUUAUAAAGGUAAUUAUUAUUGAAAAAAUUUAAUUUAAGUAAUUUAAAAAAAAGUUAAUCAAUUAUUUAUUAUUUGAUUAAUAAUUUUUUUGUUUUAAAUAAUUUAUUUAAUUAUCGUAAAAAUAUUUUGUAUUCUAAUUAAAAUUUAUAUUAUAAAUUUUAUUAUUUUAGACCAAUAAAAUUACUUUGAACAAAUUAGAGUGCUUAAAGCAGGCAAAAUUAAAUGCCUUGAAUAUAAACAGCAUGGAAUAAUAGAAUAUGAUCUCGAUACUGUUUUUCUUUUUUUAAUUAAAUAUUAAAAAAUAUUUAAUGUUAUAAAAAAUUUUAUGUUUUUUUUCGAAAGUAUAAAAUUUUUUUCAUACAUUUUAAAUUGGCUUAAAGAAUAAAUAAUUUUUGAAAAAAUUUUAUUUUAGAAAAUAUAUUAAAUUUUUUUUAAUUAAAAAUUUAAUUAUUUUCAUGAUAUAAAUAAAAUUAAAAAUAUUUAUUUCGACAGUGUAUUGAGAUAAUGAUCAAUAGAAACAGAUGGGGGCAUUCGUAUUACGACGUAAGAGGUGAAAUUCUUAGAUCGUCGUAAGACGAACUGAAGCGAAAGCGUUUGUCAAAAAUGUUUUCAUUGAUCAAGAACGAAAGUUAGAGGCUCGAAGACGAUUAGAUACCGUCCUAGUUCUAACCAUAAACUAUGCCGACUAGUGAUCCGUCGAUGUUCAUUUAAAUUGACUCGACGGGCAACUUCCGGGAAACCAAAGUUUUUAGGUUCCGGGGGAAGUAUGGUUGCAAAGCUGAAACUUAAAGGAAUUGACGGAAGGGCACCACCAGGAGUGGAGCUUGCGGCUUAAUUUGACUCAACACGGGAAAUCUCACCAGGCCCAGACACCGAAAGGAUUAACAGAUUAAUAGCUCUUUUUUAAUUCGGUGGGUGGUGGUGCAUGGCCGUUCUUAGUUGGUGGAGCGAUCUGUCUGGUUAAUUCCGAUAACGAACGAGAUUCUAACCUACUAACUAGACGUUAAAUGUUUUAUUAAACUUAAAAAAUUUUUAAAGAAAAUUUAUUUUAAAAAUUUAAAAAAAAAACUCUUUUUUAUUAAUACAUUUUGUAUUAUAAAAAAGAUGUAUUUUUUUUUAAAUUUUUGGAGAUAAUUUUUUUUUAAGUUUUGUUUAGUAAGCAUUUUAUCCGAUAUUUUUGAAGUUGUUCAAUAAAAUAGUAAAUUUUUUUUUUUUUUUAAAUAAAAGUUUAAUAUUUUAUUGACUUUCGCUAUCGGCGUAUUUUAUAUUUUCUUCUUAGAGGGACAGGUGGAUUUUAUAAGCCACACGAGAAGGAGCAAUAACAGGUCUGUGAUGCCCUUAGAUGUUCUGGGCUGCACGCGUGCUACAAUGAAAAAAUCAACGUGUUAAUAAAAAAUUUUCUUUUCCGAUAGGAAUGGAUAAACCGUUGAAAAUUUUUCUUGUUUUGGAAUCGGGGAUUGAAAUUAUUYUCCGUGAACGAGGAAUUCCCAGUAAGCGUGAGUCAUAAGCUUGCGUUGAUUACGUCCCUGCCCUUUGUACACACCGCCCGUCGCUACUACCGAUUGAAUGAUUUAGUGAGGUYUUCGGACUGUCACACGAUUUAAACAUUUCGAUGUUAUCGUUGUUUUGAUAGAAAGAUGCCCAAACUUGAUUAUUUAGAGGAAGUAAAAGUCGUAACAAGGUUUCCGUAGGUGAACCUGCGGAAGGAUCAUUA